AUUGAACGCUGGCGGCAGGCCUAACACAUGCAAGUCGAGCGAGCGGCGGACGGGUGAGUAAUGUAUGGGGACUGCCCGAUAGAGGGGGGUAACUACUGGAAACGGUGGCUAAUACCGCAUACUGUCGGAGAACCCUUAUGGGAUUAGCUAGUGGGUAAGGUAAUGGCUUACCUAGGCGACGAUCCCUGGCUGGUCUGAGAGGAUGUUCAGCCCAACUGGGACUGAGACCGGGCCCGACCUCCUCCGGGGGCAGCAGUGGGGAAUAUUGCCAAAUGGGGGCAAGCCUGAUGCAGCCAUGCCGCGUGUAUGAAGAAGGCCCUGGGGUUGUAAAGUACUUUCAGUCGGGAGGCGUUACCGACCGAAGAAGCACCGGCUAACUCCGUGCCAGCAGCCGCGGUAAUUC
rnacentral:rRNA from 1 species